rnacentral:piRNA from 1 species
UGACGGAAGCAAACAUAUAAAGACCAACC